UACGGAGGGUGCAAGCGUUGUUCGGAAUUAUUGGGCGUAAAGGGCAGGUAGGUGGUCUUAGAAGUCAACUGUGAAAUCCCCGAGCUUAACUUGGGAAGUGCGGUUGAUACUCUUAGACUCGAGUGCUGGAUGGGUGCGUGGAAUUCUCGGUGUAGCGGUGAAAUGCGUAGAUAUCGAGAGGAACACCAGAGGCGAAAGCGGCGCACUGGACAGUAACUGACACUCAGCUGCGAAAGCGUGGGGAGCAAACAGG
rnacentral:rRNA from 1 species